CCUACGGGUGGCAGCAGUAGGGAAUCUUUCACAAUGGGCGAAAGCCUGAUGGAGCAACGCCGCGUGCAGGAUGAAGGCCUUCGGGUUGUAAACUGCUUUUAUAAGCGAGAAAUAUGAUGGUAACUUAUGAAUAAGGAUCGGCUAACUACGUGCCAGCAGCCGCGGUCAUACGUAGGAUCCGAGCAUUAUCCGGAGUGACUGGGUGUAAAGAGUUGCGUAGGUGGCAUAAUAAGUAGCUAGUGAAAUCUGGUGGCUCAACCAUUCAUACUAUUAGCUAAACUGUUAAGCUCGAGACCGUUAGGGGUAACUGGAAUUUCUAGUGUAGGAGGGAAAUCCGUAGAUAUUAGAAGGAACAACAAGAGCGUAGGGAGGUUGCUGGGACGGUUCUGACACGAAGGCACGAAAGCGUAGGGAGCAAACGGGAUUAGAUACCCGAGUAGUC
rnacentral:rRNA from 1 species